rnacentral:rRNA from 1 species
AUCGCCCGGCCGCAAGCAGCGGAAAACGAACCCAUCUUUCCUACUUAACCCCCGCGCUUUUCCAGUAAUCCAGAGACACCGCGGCAAGAGAGGAGACGCGGCGGCGGCCAUGGCGAUUCCCCUCGUGCUCGUCCUGCUCCCGCUCGGCCUCCUCUUCCUCCUCUCCGGCCUCGUCGUCAACACUGUCCAGGCCGUAUUGUUCUUGACGAUAAGGCCAUUCUCGAAGCGAUUGUACCGGCAGAUCAACGUAUUCCUGGCCGAGUUGUUAUGGCUUCAGCUGAUCUGGCUUGUGGACUGGUGGGCAGGUAUUAAGGUACAGGUGUAUGCGGAUCCAGCAACUUGGAAACUAAUGGGCAAAGAGCACGCCCUUCUAAUAUCCAAUCAUCGAAGUGACAUUGAUUGGCUGGUUGGAUGGAUUUUAGCACAGCGUUCAGGAUGUCUUGGAAGCGCAAUAGCUAUAAUGAAGAAAUCCUCAAAGUUCCUUCCAGUUAUUGGUUGGUCCAUGUGGUUUGCAGAGUACCUCUUUUUGGAGAGAAGCUGGGCAAAGGAUGAAAAAACACUUAAAUCGGGUCUUCAAAGGUUGAAAGACUUCCCCAGAUCAUUUUGGCUUGCCCUUUUUGUUGAGGGUACAAGAUUUACUCCAGCAAAACUUUUAGCAGCUCAAGAAUAUGCAGUCUCACAGGGUUUGACAGCACCUAGGAAUGUGCUGAUUCCACGAACAAAGGGAUUUGUAUCAGCUGUAAGUAUUAUGCGUGACUUUGUCCCAGCUAUCUACGAUACAACAGUGAUUAUUCCGGAAGAUUCGCCUAAACCAACAAUACUGCGUAUUCUUCAGGGACAAUCAUCAGUUGUUCAUGUCCGCAUAAAACGCCAUUCAAUGGGUGAUAUGCCUAACUCGGAUGAGGAUGUUUCAAAAUGGUGCAAAGAUAUAUUUGUAGCAAAGGACGCGUUAUUGGACAAACAUAUAGCAACUGGUACUUUUGAUGAGGAAAUUAUACCAAUUGGUCGUCCAGUGAAAUCUUUGAUGGUGGUCCUGUCUUGGUCAUGUUUCCUCCUAUAUGGUGCUCAUAGAUUCUUACAGUGGACCCAGCUCUUGUCAACAUGGAAAGGAGUGAUCCUCUUUGCUUCUGGAUUGGCAAUGGUGACUGCCGUUAUGCAUGUAUUCAUCAUGUUCUCGCAGGCCGAGCGCUCAAGCUCCGCUAAAGCAGCAAGGGACCGAGUGAAGAAGGAUUGAUAGCUCGUGUGAAAUUCAGUCUAUAGGGGAACUGCCAAUUUAUUAUGUUCAGAAUAUAUGUAGACACAGGCUCCAUGGGUGAAAUCUAGUAUGUCCUUGUUGUCCUCGGUAAGAGCUUCAGGAAUUUUGUGUGGCGAGAACUGUGAGCUUUCUUCCUUCUUUCUCUACUUUGUAAUGACUUGUAAAGAUUUGCUUUGCCAUACCAGGAAUCGCUGCUCGAAUUUAUCGAAGCUUUUUUUUUUAUCACUGUUCAGGCAAUCCUUGGUACAGAUUGCUAUUGCCAACCUGGUUAUUCUGCGCUUUGGUGUUGCUAUGACAUCGUGUCUGCGCUGGCUCAAGGAGGGAAAUGUGAACGCCAAACUUUUUCACCUCGUGGCUAAUGGACGAGUGUGCUAAGGGCAUCCCAUCUCUUUGUUCUGGUUCCGACCUGAUCUUGGACCAAAAGGUUAUAGAUGAGGUGUUCUUCUAGUUCCAGGCAUAUGAUUUGAGAUAUGUGCGCUGCGCAUUGAAGCGGCAUUCUAC